CUCUUCCAGGCUGUGUAAGUGUAAUCUGACAGAGGAAAGCUGUAGAGUUCUGUCCUCAGUUCUCAGCUCAAACUCCUCCAGUCUGAGAGAACUGAACCUGAGUAUCAAUAAACUGCAGAAUUCAGGAGUGAAGCUGCUCUCUGCUGGACUGAAGAAUCCACACUGUACACUGGAGAUACUGAGGAUGUGGUGCUGCAGUAUUACAGAUGAAGGUUGUGCUGCUCUGGCUUCAGCUCUGAGGUCAAACUCCUCAUCACACCUGAGAGAACUGGAUCUGAACUGUAAUAAUCCAGGAGAAUCAGGAGUGAAGCUGCUCUCUGAUCUACUGAAGGAUCCACACUGUAAACUGGAGACACUACACAUUACAAAUUAUAAAUUCACAAGGACUGGCAUAUGACAGGAGUCUCACCUCUGACCUCUUUUCCAGGAUAAAGCAGUUUUGGUGAAGCGUUAGAACUCGUCCCACAUUUCCAGCAGUUUGGGAGCUGAAUCAUUCAUAUUCAGAUGUAGAAGUUCCAUAACAAUAACUGUGACUGAUCACAUCCUUUUAUCCACUCAGCUACAAGUUACUUCAGGCUUUAAUAACAUAUUUUACAAUCCAAAGUCAAAUCCUUCAGCAUCUACACACAACACAGAGAUAUCAUCACAUCAUCACACUGAUUACACAAAUACACAUCCAUGUGUUGUAGCUGUUUAUAGCUUAUUUUUAGCUCCUUACAGUCAUGUGAAAAAUUAGGACACCCCAACAAAUAUUCAGUUCUUUAUUAAGAAAUGUCAACAUCUCAAUUUCUGAUCUUAUUUUAAUUUGUAUCUGUAGAUGAAAGUGAUGUAAUUGCAUGUAAACAACAAAAAAUCACUUUGUUUUCAUUUAUUAAACAAAAGAAAUCAACAAAAAUGAGUAUUUAAACUGAGAAAACAUUAGGACACCUGGAGGUAAUUUUAGCCAUUUUAAGUACAAAUAAAUGUGGGAGUGUCCUUACCUUUUCCAAGAAAUUGGAUUUUUUUUUUAAAUUACAUUUUACUGAUCAUUUUAAAAAGACUUUUCUUUGGUUUUAUUUGUUUAGUUAUAUUACUUGAAUCUCCCAAUAUUGUUAAAAUGAAGAUCAAAUGUCCAUAUGUUUAACUAUGUUAAAAAAAACACAGGCUUUCAUGGUAUGUCCUAAUUUUUUCACAUGAUUGUAUAUCUGUCAGGUUAAUCAGAGUGUGUUUCUGCUCAACAUGGCUUCAUUCAGUGACGCAUUUUUUUCUCCACAGAUGAUUGAUGCAAAGUUGUAAUAUUGAUUUAAUCCUUUUUUACUCAAAGAUUGUUCCUUGUUUGCUAACAUGUUUAAUGGUAAUCAUGGUAGUUUGACUGUUUAAGAUAUUUAGAUUUUUUAAACUAAAAAAUCUCUGAAACUCUUUAACUACAUGCACUGUAUGUAUUCGUGUCAUUUAAUACAGUUUUGUAGAUAUGUGGUGUACAUGUCAUUUACACUAUGUGUACAAAAUAAACAGUGACUGUGACUGAAACACAACAGUUCAGGUGUUUGAGGACUGUACUGUAAUUACACUUAGCAUGGACCACUACCAGGACUAACACGUGUUCCACCACACUGAGAAACUUCAAUGUUGUGUCACGACUCGUGAACUCUGAGCUGGACUUUCUGACUGUUCAUGAGGAAUCUUCUUGUAACCAUGGUGACAGUGACAGUCUCACUGUCAGGAGUGUAGGGAGUAGGAAUUAGCGCGAGUACAGCCUGGGGACCAUGUAUGGAAAUAAAUUUGUGCCAAAACUAAACAUCCAAAUCUAGCAUUUCACAAACACAAUCUGCUUUGCAAAGGAAAACUCAAACAAACAGAAAGUGAUUUGUAAAUACAAAGGGCAAAUAUAAAAAAAAUAUAAGCCUACAUCAUAUUUCACAAAUAAACACAAUCCAUUCUACAAAUCUUUGAACAAAUACAAAAUCCAAUGUAUACAAAUGCAGCUGAGCAACUUCC